rnacentral:rRNA from 1 species
GACGAACGCUGGCGGCGCGCCUAACACAUGCAAGUCGAGCGAGAACCGGGCUUUCGGGCCCGGGGAAAGCGGCGAACGGGUGAGUAACACGUGGGUAACCUGCCCUCGGCACCGGGAUAGCCCGGGGAAACUCGGAUUAAUACCGGAUGGCCUCCGGAGCCUUCGGGCGCCGGAGAAAAGGUGGCUUCGGCAUCUGGCCGAGGCGGGGCCUGCGGCGGAUUAGCUUGUUGGUGGGGUAAUGGCUCACCAAGGCGACGAUCCGUAGCUGGUCUGAGAGGACGAUCAGCCACACUGGGACUGAGACACGGCCCAGACUCCUACGGGAGGCAGCAGUGGGGAAUCUUGCGCAAUGGGCGAAAGCCUGACGCAGCGACGCCGCGUGCGGGAAGAAGGCCUUCGGGUUGUAAACCGCUUUCAGGAGGGACGAAGCUCCUCGGGUGAACAGCCCAGAGGGUGACGGUACCUCCAGAAGAAGCCCCGGCUAACUACGUGCCAGCCGCCGCGGUAAUAC